rnacentral:rRNA from 1 species
CCAAGGAGUUUAACAUGUGCGCGAGUCACUCGGUCUUGUUUAGGCCAGAGAGGCGCAAUGAAAGUAAAGUUUGUUAAGUUACGAUCUUUGUCUAUAAUGACUAGCAUAUUUUGUAUGUUGGUCGGCAAAGCGCAGUAACAGCCCGCCAAUUUCGCUUAUUGACGAUAUGGCGGAGUUAUAGCGUACACGUUGAGACCCGAAAGAUGGUGAACUAUGCCUGGGCAAGACGAAGCCAGAGGAAACUCUGGUGGAGGUCUGUAGCGAUUCUGACGUGCAAAUCGAUCGUCAGACCUGGGUAUAGGGGCGAAAGACUAAUCGAACCAUC